CCACACGACUCUCGGCAACGGAUAUCUCGGCUCUCGCAUCGAUGAAGAACGUAGCGAAAUGCGAUACCUGGUGUGAAUUGCAGAAUCCCGCGAACCAUCGAGUCUUUGAACGCAAGUUGCGCCCGAGGCCACUUGGCCGAGGGCACGCCUGCCUGGGCGUCACGC
rnacentral:rRNA from 2 species